rnacentral:rRNA from 1 species
UACGUAGGGGGCAAGCGUUGUCCGGAUUCAUUGGGCGUAAAGAGCGUGUAGGCGGCCAGGUAGGUCGGUUGUGAAAACUGGAGGCUCAACCUUCAGAGGUCGACCGAAACCAUCUGGCUAGAGUCCGGGAGAGGAGAGUGGAAUUCCUGGUGUAGCAGUGAAAUGCGUAGAUAUGCGGAGGAACACCGAUGGCGAAGGCAAUCCCCUGGACCCGUACUGAUGCUCAUGCACGAAAGCGUGGGGAGCAAACAGG